AUGUGGUCAAGCUACUAAGGGCAUAUGGUGGAUGCCUUGGCACGAGUAGGCGAUGAAGGGCGUGGCUAGCUGCGAUAAGCUUCGGGGAGCCGCUAAGCAGGCUUUGAUCCGGAGAUCUCCGAAUGGGGCAACCCGAUCCUGGUAAUUCGGGAUCAUCUCACGCUGAAUUCAUAGGCGUGUGAGGCGAACGGGGGGAAGUGAAACAUCUCAGUACCCCCAGGAAUAGAAAUCAAUAGAGAUUCCCUCAGUAGUGGCGAGCGAAAGGGGAAGAGCCCAAACCGCUGGAAGCAAUUCCAUCGGGGUUGUGGGGCUGCUUUAGGGUGUAGCCCGGGAAGUUACCAAGUCAGGUCAUAACUGAAGGCUCCUGGAAAGGACAACCGAAGAGGGUGAUAGUCCCGUAAGUUAAAUGACUCUGGCCUUCCUGAAGGCAGUUCCCGAGUACCGCGGGACACGGGAAAUCCCGCGGGAAGCCGGGAGGACCAUCUCCCAAGGCUAAAUACUAACUCGUGACCGAUAGUGAACUAGUACCGCGAGGGAAAGGUGAAAAGCACCCCAGUGAGGGGAGUGAAAUAGUACCUGAAACCAUGUGCCUACAAGCAGUGGGAGGGCUAUGUCCCAAGCUUCGGCUAGGGAUAUGCCUGACCGCGUGCCUUUUGCAUAAUGAGUCUGCGAGUUACUCUACGCAGCAAGGUUAAGCCGACUGAGGUGGAGCCGUAGCGAAAGCGAGUCUUAAAUGGGCGAUUUGAGUUGCGUGGAGUAGACCCGAAGCGGGAUGAUCUACCCAUGGCCAGGGUGAAAUUUCGGUAACACGAAAUGGAGGCCCGAACUGGUGAAGGUUGAAAACUUCUCGGAUGAGCUGUGGGUAGGAGUGAAAGGCUAAUCAAAUUCCGUGAUAGCUGGUUCUCCCCGAAAUAUAUUGAGGUAUAGCCUCGUGUCUAGCAGGCGGAGGUAGAGCUCUGGAUGGGCUAAGGUCCUUACCGGGAUACUAAACCUAACCAAACUGCGAAUUCCGUCUUGCCGAAUCACGGGAGUCAGACUGCGGGAGAUAAGUUCCGUGGUCGAGAGGGAAAGAGCCCAGAUCGCCGGCUAAGGUCCCAAAAUAUGUGCUCAGUGGGAAAGGAUGUGGAAGCGCUCAGACAGCCAGGAGGUUGGCUUAGAAGCAGCCAUCCUUUAAAGAAAGCGUAACAGCUCACUGGUCGAGUGAGUCCGCGCCGAAGAUGUAACGGGGCUAAGCACAUUACCGAAGCCGCGAACUUAACGGUUUCUUCGGAAAUUGUUAAUUGGUAGGGGAGCAUUCCAGUCGCCUGCGAAGGCAGACCGUAAGGACUGCUGGAGGUUCUGGAAGGGAUUAUGCAGACAUGAGUAGCGAUAAAAUGGGUGAGAAACCCAUUCGCCGUAAGUCUAAGGUUUCCUGGGUAAAGUUAAUCUUCCCAGGGUUAGUCGGUCCCUAAGCCGAGGCCGAAAGGCGUAGGUGAUGGAAAGCAGGUUAAUAUUCCUGCACCACCGAUGAUGCGUUAUCAGCGAAGGGGGGACGAAGAAGGGUAGGUCAUCCGGGUGUUGGAUGUCCCGGUUCAAGCCUGUAGGCGGGUCCGCUAGGCAAAUCCGGCGGGCCAUUCCAAACGCCGAGAGGUGAUGACGAGUCCCGCAAGGGACGCAAAGUGAUUGAUCCCAUGCUUCCGAGAAAAUCCUCGUAGCGAGCAUCAUAGGUGACCGUACCGCAAACCGACUCAGGUAGACGGGUAGAAUAUACCAAGGCGCUUGAGAGAACCGUGGUUAAGGAACUCAGCAAACUGACACCGUAACUUCGGAAGAAGGUGUGCCCACCGUGGUGAAGUUCUUGCGAAUGGAGCUGUGGUGGGUUGCAGUGAACAGGGGGUGGCGACUGUUUAUCAAAAACACAGGACUCUGCUAAGUCGCAAGACGACGUAUAGGGUCUGACGCCUGCCCGGUGCCGGAAGGUUAAGGAGAGAGGUUAGCCGCAAGGCAAAGCUUUGAACCGAAGCCCCGGUAAACGGCGGCCGUAACUAUAACGGUCCUAAGGUAGCGAAAUU
rnacentral:rRNA from 1 species